UACGAAGGUCCCAAGCGUUAUCCGGAUUUAUUGGGUUUAAAGGGUGCGUAGGCGGGUUAUUAAGUCAGUGGUGAAAGCCUACAGCUUAACUGUAGAAUUGCCAUUGAUACUGAUGAUCUUGAGUAUGAUUGAGGUGGGCGGAAUGUGUCAUGUAGCGGUGAAAUGCUUAGAUAUGACACAGAACACCGAUUGCGAAGGCAGCUCACUAAGCCAUAACUGACGCUGAUGCACGAAAGCGUGGGGGAGCAAACAGG
rnacentral:rRNA from 1 species